GUUAGAUCUCUUUAACUGUCUCAGUCAUAAUUUUGCAAAGGCGGUUUCACCACCAGCACCUCCCCAAGUCCCCGGGGGACACCAACACCCUCCCUGCCCAGCCAGAUUCCAGCCCUGCCCCACCCCUUCCCUGCUGGGUGACGUUGGGAGAGUCACUUGACCUCCGAUGCUUUCCUCCUCUCAGCAAUAGAGUCCCGCAGUCACUGCCACAGCCCCUGGUGAUUAAAGCCUUUCAGUGUCAAGUACAAGUGCCUUGUACUGUUUUUUGGGGUUUUUUUUU
rnacentral:lncRNA from 1 species